GGGACAGAUAAUUUACUAGCUUCUUGUCGCAAUUGUCUGAGGGUUAGACUAAGUAAAUAUUCUUUAUUCUUGAUCCCAUCAACCACUUUUAAAACUCCAUAAAUUGCAUGGGAUCAGUAUGUUCUUUUUUUUUGCAGUUUGGGUAACAUUAGAGGCAGUCGUCA
rnacentral:antisense_RNA from 1 species